UAAAAUCAGUUUACAAUACAGGGUCAGUCACAGGAAAAUUACUUUGAAAAUUAAUUAGUUUUCAACCAAAAAUACCUUUAGCUAACUGGGUAUAAUAUUUUAUUUAAAUUAAUUUAGUAAUCAAUGUGAGCUGGAUGAAAAUGAGUGAAGUCGUCAAAAUGACAAGUAAUUGUCUACUGCUUCAAGGACUCUAAUUUAAUUUUCUGGGCCAGAAGCAGUCCUCUGACGGGGUCUUUCAUUGGGGACCAAUCUUGUUGUAACUUGGCUUCCAGAUUUCUAAAUGUUUCAGGAACCGGAUGCAUUCGAUUUUGAUACCUCUCCAAGUCUCCAAGUACAGAGCUGCUGUCGGAGGAGCAUUUUUCUUGCAUUCUCCAUGGAUUAAAAGCAUGCCCACUUUCUCGUUAUUUGUGUAAUAACAGGGUUGAUCAGCAGGCAUAGGCAAAUAUGUUAAUGAAAAACAUACAACCAAGAGACGGCGCCACUUGCUUUUAUUUACAGAUUUCUGUAAAUUACCACAAACAGUAGUAAACAGAAACUACUAGUACCAUCUCUUGGUUGUAUGUUUUGUUUUUACUUAAAAAAAUACAGAAUAUAAAGCAAUCUUUGGAUAUUUGACGCAAAAUAUCAAAAAACACUUUUCAAUCAACUUUCACUAGUAUUGUUCAAAUAAUUUCCCAGUUAAUAUUUCCCUUUCGUGUUCGAAUUAUUUGUUACAUACUUUGUUCGUGGUACGCUCUUUUCAUUGUGUGUUUAAAUUUUGUUUGGUUUCGUUUUUUAUUAGUAUCUACUUUUAAGGUAGAAUUAUUCAAGUUUCAAGUUUAGAAAUAGGUAACACUCUCCUAAAAGAUAUCCAGCAGCAAUGCUCCUCAAGAGAAUCUUGAAACUACUGGAUAAGACUCCAGAAAUUUGGGGACAUCUGAACUGCCGUCAAAAUUUGAACAGGUAAAAACAGAAUUAGAAAGGAAAAUUUUCGCUUUUGAAUUGUGGUCUGUUUCUAGAACUAGAGGGGAUAUUAAGCUCUUUUACAGCUAAUGUCAUCACACUUGGACGAUAUUACAAGGGCUUUGCAAUAUAGGAAUUAGAAAAGAAUCAUUUUUUAGGUAACAAAUAAAUUUUGACUAAACGUCUCUCUAAUAAUGUGUCCUCCGCUGUGAUUUUGACCGCAGUUCAAACAGAGAUUCUGUUAGUCCGGAUAGGCUAAAACACUUUGUACCGUAAUUCGGUGGUAUGUACCGAGAAAUUUUUGCUCAACAUUUGGAGGAAUUGAUAAUGAGACAAUGAUCAAUAAUCUUAUUCCAAAAUAAAGUAUAAGAAGUUCAAACAAAAAAUUUACACGAUAAAGUCUUCGCAACAGUUUUUUGGGCUAAAGAAGGACUUUUGCUAUUAAGGUUUAUACUACCUGAGACGAUCAUCUCAAAAGGAAACUAUGCAAAAUAGUUUAAAGUUUUGUGUGAUUCUAUCAACUUGAAAAGGCAUGAAAUCCACACGUCAGAUGUACUGCUCUUUCACAAAAACCGACUGGAGCAUAUAUUAGCAAAUGUACAGGUCGCCAUCUAAAUCUUUAAAUUUUGUUGGAAAUUAUCUUAAACGGCAGGAUUUUUUAAGAAUGCAGGAGCCACCAGUCAAAAAUGUAAAAAUCAAAUCCAUUUACUUAGUAARUUUAGAGAAUGCUAUCAUAACGUGUGGUACAAUUUUGUUAAAUGCAUAAAUAAACAAUUUAAGUCCAUUAUAUGUGCUUCUUUAUGUCUUGAUCAUAACCAAAAUAUUAUUACUAAACACAUAUACCUGAUUUUGUUGAAAAUUUUGGUUAUUUGUGUUUAAAUUGUAAUAGGAAAAUUAAAAUUGAAUGAUAAAGUAUUUAAAUUUGCCGCCAAUUUUAGUUCAACAUACAAACAAGAGACGGCGCCAGGCUUGAAAUUUUGACGACCGGAAAAUUGUGUGUUACUUGAUUUUCUAUAUUGAGUAUAUUCUAUGGUGUAAUAAUACAUUGUAUUAACGAAAAUUGACUGUUACUUUUUAAAUGUCAAAAUGAAAAAAUAUGCAAAGUAUUCUUGGAUUUAAUUUUAUAAAUUUAAAAAAUGAGGAAGCAAGACGUCUAUGUGAAUUGUAUAAUGGGCUGCUGUCCAAAUUAUUUCAGAAGUAACUCUUUUGUGACUGACUCUGUAUGUGUUACAGACUAUAAAGAGGAUAAAAAUUAAAAAUUAAAUUAGUUUUAUCGUUUAAGACGCCCGUGAUUAAAACGUGCGACAACUGAUUUUUGAAUUCAUUCUGGUGUUUAAAGGUUAUCAGCCGUACUAACUUUUGUAAUUUUAUCUAUUCUGCAGUAGUGUCUCAUUAAAAAACGCAUCUCCUUCAGGUGGUGCAGCUCGCUUACAUAACAUUUUUUGAAACAUGUUCAUAAGAAACUUUUGUCUUAAAAUUGAAUAUUCUAUCAUGUGUUUAAAUUUGUAACCAUAAAAACAAAUCACUCUGUAUAGAAAAGGCACAUUCGAAAGGCUACUUGCGUCUAUAGUCCGGUCAAAAUAAACAUUUUAAAUAACUAAAA